rnacentral:rRNA from 1 species
UACGUAGGGUGCGAGCGUUGUCCGGAAUUAUUGGGCGUAAAGAGCUCGUAGGCGGUUUGUCGCGUCUAUCGUGAAAACUGGAGGCUUAACUUUCAGCGUGCAGUCGAUACGGGCAGACUUGAGUUCGGUAGGGGAGACUGGAAUUCCUGGUGUAGCGGUGAAAUGCGCAGAUAUCAGGAGGAACACCGGUGGCGAAGGCGGGUCUCUGGACAGUUCCCGACGCUGAGGCACGAAGGUCAGGGGAGCAAACGGG